rnacentral:lncRNA from 1 species
GAAAAUGGAGUUAUUGGAGACUAAUUGCUGUGUUAUAAAUCAUGGUUUGAAUUGAAUGGCUUAUGAUAAUAUUGGCAUGAAUUGUUGAAUUGGUAAAUGUGCUGAAAAUGUAUAAACUGUUGAUUUGCCUUGAGAGGCGGUAAAAUAAAAUAAUUGCCAUGUCAUGCUAUUGCAAAUUUUAUUGUAUGGUGGGUUUAGCUUGCUGCAGUGGGCAGGUUUUGUGGACCAGCCCUUUUGAGGGGCAUGGAAUCUUGUUAUAUUCUUACCUCGAUUGGGGAGGCGCGUAGGGUAACUCUCAAGGUACAACUUUAGAGUUCACUUCACGUUAAACCACCACGUGAGGGUGAACUCAGCCAAUGCCAAGGAACGACUAUGUUUUCAAAAUAAAAUCAUGAUUUAUGCGUACAUGACUUUUUAACAGCCUUGGCGGAUUCGGUUGGGAUAGCCCCAGGCCAAGGUAUCCCUGAUAACUGAGUAUGGGAAUGAUUUUGGCACGAGCCACGCUUUUCAGGAAAUCAUAAGCCUCGUUGUUUAUUUUGGUGAAAUGAAUCUAUUUUAUCUUAUUAAAAUGAGUUCGAAAUGCUGUGAAUCAC